rnacentral:piRNA from 1 species
UGUUCAUUUUCAGUGACUAAUUCAGAAGGA